GGUCCCAUCGUCUAGCGGUUAGGACGCCGGCCUCUCACGCCGGAAACCGGGGUUCGAUUCCCCGUGGGAUCACCA
rnacentral:tRNA from 2 species